rnacentral:rRNA from 1 species
UACGGGGGGAGCAAGCGUUGUUCGGAUUUACUGGGCGUAAAGGGCGCGUAGGCGGCCUGCUAAGUCAGACGUGAAAUCCCUCAGCUUAACUGGGGAACUGCGUCUGAUACUGGAUGGCUUGGAUUCGGGAGAGGAAUGCGGAAUUCCAGGUGUAGCGGUGAAAUGCGUAGAAUAUCUGGAGGAACACCGGUGGCGAAGGCGGCGAUCCUAGGACC